AAGGCAGGAUGUGAGGCAGAACUGGCAGUCUUUCUCCUGCAUUUCUAUUGUGCUUCUGUGUCGGGGUGUGAAUGGUGAGCUGGAUGUACCGACUCUAUUCAAAAAUCGUUCCACUGCCUAAAGGAGACUGGAAACAGAUAAUCCACCUUUCACAGGUGCUAAGUUGAGGCAUUUUCAUUCCCCUGGGACUUAUCACCAUAGAAACAACCUUCACUUUAAGAAAAGAUGAAUGAGCCAGAUGAAAGCAAGAUGGUCAGUACGUUUCAUAAGAAUGGAUAAUGGUUCUAAUUAAAAAGCAAAGCAAAUUUGACUAAACAGAUGCUGUGCCAAUGAUGCUUCCAUAUGUCCAGGGCCAUAAUUGAUCUGUCCUUUCAAUGUUAAAUUAGAAUUUUGCAUGAGAGACCUAUGCAACCCUAUGUCUAAAUCACUACAUUUUCA
ensembl:lncRNA